rnacentral:rRNA from 1 species
AGUGAACGCUGGCGGUAGGCCUAACACAUGCAAGUCGAACGGCAGCACAGUAAGAGCUUGCUCUUACGGGUGGCGAGUGGCGGACGGGUGAGGAAUACAUCGGAAUCUACUUUUUCGUGGGGGAUAACGUAGGGAAACUUACGCUAAUACCGCAUACGACCUACGGGUGAAAGCAGGGGAUCUUCGGACCUUUCGCGAUUGAAUGAGCCGAUGUCGGAUUAGCUAGUUGGCGGGGUAAAGGCCCACCAAGGCGACGAUCCGUAGCUGGUCUGAGAGGAUGAUCAGCCACACUGGAACUGAGACACGGUCCAGACUCCUACGGGAGGCAGCAGUGGGGAAUAUUGGACAAUGGGCGCAAGCCUGAUCCAGCCAUACCGCGUGGGUGAAGAAGGCCUUCGGGUUGUAAAGCCCUUUUGUGGGGAAAGAAAAGCAGCAGGUUAAUACCCCGCUGUUCUGACGGUACCCAAAGAAUAAGCACCGGCUAACUUCGUG